CUUUCCCUCUGUUGAAGGCUCUCUCUGGGACCAGAUGCAGCCCAGGAGGCUUCUUUGUUCAUCAGAAGCUAGAAGCAGAGACACCGAGUUCUUCAGCCUGAUCAGAGAGGACAGGAGACCCCUGCCCCUGAUAGUCCACGCAGCACAGAAAUGCAGAUGUCUCAGGAGCUAAGCCGCAGGCUGAAAGUUUAAUAUUUAAACCAGUGUCACAUGCUGCACAUCUGCAUGAUUGUUUCCUUGACUAGCAACCAUGACAAAGUGCCCAGGGAUUCCGCGUAAACCCCAGGCAGUCACCUGACCCCAGACAGCCCAGUAGAAGCUAGUGGGAAAGAGGACUGGGACCUGUUGCUGCAGGAUGUGGCGCACAGAGGAGAGAGCACUUGAGAUCUGCAGCCUUCUAAAGGAGCCUCGUUGGCCUCGUCUGUGGUAAGAGGCAAAUUCUGCGUUUUAGGGACACUCGUCAGAGAAGAGGGCCUGAUGGCUGUGUCCACCUGGCCGAGCGAGGGGCUCCAAUCGUCAGCACCA